rnacentral:rRNA from 1 species
GGAUGAGCCCGCGGCCUAUCAGCUUGUUGGUGAGGUAAUGGCUCACCAAGGCGACGACGGGUAGCCGGCCUGAGAGGGCGACCGGCCACACUGGGACUGAGACACGGCCCAGACUCCUACGGGAGGCAGCAGUGGGGAAUAUUGCACAAUGGGCGAAAGCCUGAUGCAGCGACGCCGCGUGAGGGAUGACGGCCUUCGGGUUGUAAACCUCUUUCAGCAGGGAAGAAGCGAAAGUGACGGUACCUGCAGAAGAAGCGCCGGCUAACUACGUGCCAGCAGCCGCGGUAAUACGUAGGGCGCGAGCGUUGUCCGGAAUUAUUGGGCGUAAAGAGCUCGUAGGCGGUCUGUCGCGUCGGAUGUGAAAGCCCGGGGCUUAACCCCGGGUCUGCAUUCGAUACGGGCAGACUAGAGUGUGGUAGGGGAGAUCGGAAUUCCUGGUGUAGCGGUGAAAUGCGCAGAUAUCAGGAGGAACACCGGUGGCGAAGGCGGAUCUCUGGGCCAUUACUGACGCUGAGGAGCGAAAGCGUGGGGAGCGAACAGGAUUAGAUACCCUGGUAGUCCACGCCGUAAACGGUGGGAACUAGGUGUUGGCGACAUUCCACGUCGUCGGUGCCGCAGCUAACGCAUUAAGUUCCCCGC